rnacentral:rRNA from 1 species
CGAAAGCCUGACGGAGCAAUACCGCGUGCGGGAGGACGGCCUGUGGGUUGUAAACCGCUUUUCUCAGGGAAGAAGACCUGACGGUACCUGAGGAAUCAGCAUCGGCUAACUCCGUGCCAGCAGCCGCGGUAAUACGGAGGAUGCAAGCGUUAUCCGGAAUUAUUGGGCGUAAAGCGUCCGCAGGUGGCGAUUCAAGUCUGCUGUCAAAGCACGGGGCUUAACUCCGUUAAGGCAGUGGAAACUGAAUAGCUAGAGUGCCGUAGGGGUAGAGGGAAUUCCCGGUGUAGCGGUGAAAUGCGUAGAGAUCGGGAAGAACAUCGGUGGCGAAAGCGCUCUACUGGACGGCAACUGACACUCAGGGACGAAAGCUAGGGGAGCG